UACGGGGGGAGCAAGCGUUGUUCGGAUUUACUGGGCGUAAAGGGCGCGUAGGCGGUCAGGACAGGUAAGUGGGGAAAUCUCCGGGCUUAACUCGGAAAGGUCAACUGAUACUGUGCGACUAGAGUGCAGAAGGGGCAACUGGAAUUCUCGGUGUAGCGGUGAAAUGCGUAGAUAUCGAGAGGAACACCUGCGGCGAAGGCGGGUUGCUGGGCUGACACUGACGCUGAGGCGCGAAAGCCAGGGGAGCGAACGGG
rnacentral:rRNA from 1 species